UUCAUAUAUUUUAGAACUGCCUCAAACAUUCAAACAAAUGCACAUCAUUGAGUUCUCGUAGAAUUGUAUCAUUACAGAAGGUAGAUUGGGGGGCUACAUAUUUGAAUGCUCGCCUCCCCGUUGUACAAAUACCCUGCCUGUAGAAAGCUAGUACAUCAGGUAGAAGAAUCUUGUAAAGUGGGGCAGGAUUUUGUUGGUUCAUACUUUUUUGCCAAGGUGCCAAUAUUUACUAGUUAUCACUCAAUCUCCUGCUACAAGUUUACAGGACAUUAACCACUGCAAGUAGUUCACUUGUGCGAAACCAAGAUAUUGGUUGUGUUUAGGUAAAAGAUAUUGUAAAGUUGAAGAAGUGCAGAAAAGGGCAACUAAAAUGAUCAAGGGGCUGGAACAUUCCCCAUGAGGGAAGAUUACAACAGCUGGGAUUGUUUAGUUUGGGGAAAAAGGAAGCUAAGGGGAGUCAUGAUAGAGGUGUGCAAAAUUAUGCAUGGUGUGGAACACGGGGCCUCAAAAUACUAACGCAUGGGGGGUCAUGCCAUAAAGGUGAUUAGUGAGUGAUUCAGGACAAAUAAAAGGAAGUACUUCUUCACACAGCGCAUAGUUAUGCUACCACAAGAUGUAGUGAUAGCCACCAAUUUCAGUGGCUUAAAAAAGGGGCAGCCUCCAGCCCACAGGAUGGCCCAGUCCAUCUUCCACAGUCCCCACCUUCCCCCAUUCCUGAAGCCUUGACCCCUGGCCUGGGGAGAAGAAUCACUAUAUUAUCUCUGAAUUGGCCAAUUGCAAAACCAACUUUUGAAAAGCACCAGCCAAGUCACUUUCUCCAUGCAGAGAGGCACGGAGAAGUGAGGGAAGGACACAGAGCAACACUGAUGAUGACAUGGGGGGACAAGGCUUUGGGGCAGGGCCCCACCACCUCAAUAUCUUCUGUCGCACCACACAUGGUCUAGGGAGUUACACUAUCUGGCCAACAGACCAAAAAGAGGAUUCCCCCACCCCAUUGCUGUAAAGGCUGCCAUCUUAAACAGAACACUGGUAUAUGGUGGGGGAAAGGCUUAAAGCUUUCAUCUCUGGCACAUUUUAUGCUCAAAAUGACACAUGCCACACCACUUCCCCCCACAGGAGGAAAUCUAUGGGUACAGAGUUCUGGGCCUAACUUGUAAAGUGAAAACUAUGUUCAGUGUUGAGGAAACCUAACUCUUCUGCAACAUCUCAAAUGUCCAAGAUUAUACGGAUCUUCAAACUAUUUGAGAGCAUCCAGGCCUUCCACCUUCAUGAUAGUAAGGAUCCAUCUGUAACAAAGUUUAUUUUUAAAAUGUUGCUACCUAGACUACUAAGUAUUUUUAGUCUAUUUUGGGCAACUGACGUCUCAGGUUGUCAGCCACCUGCAUGGAUUGAAAAAUAAGUGGAAGUGUUCAGUGCUGUAGACUCAUUUAUGGAGCACAGCUAAAAGAUAUAUGGGCGCAUUAAGCAUCUUAGGAACAGAAAAACUAUUAGAAUGAAAAUAGAGCCAAUCAAAAUGUGUUGGUUCACUUUGACAGGCAAAAUGGCUGUAGCUGCUAGGAAUGAACCACCUACGCUACUACUUUGACAUGCCAGACAUGUCUGGAAAAAGAAUUGGUUUGGUAAUAAAAUCUUUCCAGAAAACACUGAAUGCCAUUACUAUUGAUCAUUCCAGUCUUCUCAUAUGAUACACAUAGAAUUUGCCUCCAGAUGUUUUUGUAACGAUGGGUACAUGGCACAUUGACACAAAUUCAUAUUUAUUAUUUCAUGUACAUUUUAGGAGACAUUCUAAAGCUUUUAAACUGAAUUGAAUUUGGAGCAAAUGUAAAGAGAAGAACAAACACAGACUCUCCUUUACCAUAUCACAAAGUGGUUUUGAAGUUUAUCUCAACUUCAGAAAUGUUUGCCGGGAGGGGGGUGUGUGUGUGCGUGCUGUUUGAGCAAUGCAAGCCCUUUUCCCCUUUCAGCAUGUGGAACUUGAGAUUAAUUCUUAAAAUUGUCCAUUUCCAGUGAAAGGUGAUUUCAAGUUUUGUAACCUUACUAGGCUAAUUCAGCUGUGCCUGUUCCUUCCUAGCCCUGUUGGAAAAUCAGAAGGUGGCCAGUCAGCUGUUUGGUGGGAUGAAGGGAGGGGAAAUAAGUGCCCCCUGCUUCCCCAUCCUAAACAACUGAUUAGAAGCAAUCACCAGUUUUCCGAUAGGUGCUAUGCUGCCUGAUCAAGAGGGAAUAGCCACACAGCUUAUUUACAACCCAACACUGAAGGCUAUAAAAUGUAUUCAAUAUUUAUACAGAGUUGCUUCUAUAUUGAAGUACUCCGCUUCAUUCAUUUAUUCUUGUCAACUGGAUACAUCCCUUAAUCCCAUUCGUCCCAACCUGUCCAAUUUCUUUCUGGUUUAAGAUUGUCUUGUUUAGGAAGAAAUUUAAUUUGUGAAUUAAUUUCUUUCCAAAGAGAUAAACAUAAUGAACGGCGAAAUAACAGUACUUGUAUCCAUGCAAGGAAGCUUGGCACCAGUUUAGAUAAAGUACUGCUAACUCUCCUGGCUCAAGCCUAUGGUUUGCACUGAAAUAUUUACACAAGGGUCAUGAUUUCUAGAAGUAAUUUUUAAAGUAAUCUGAACUGCUGUACUGUAAAAUCUGGGCAUUAGAGACCCUUAACACAUUGUACGACAGCUGGGUUUCUUCCCAACAGACAUCAGACACUCAGCUGUCUUAUAAUGUAGGCCUCUCCCCUCUCCCCUAAUUUUCCUUCAACCCCCCCUCCUCAGACUUCCCUUUUUGAUUUCUUGGGGAUUACUUGCAAACCCUAGUUUCCCCGAAAGAAACAUUCAGCCUCUGAAUAUGUUAGUAAUCUCAUUUUUGUACAAACUCUCAUUUAUUGCAUUCCUGUGGAUUGACACGUUAUACUCGUAACUAUUUUGCUAACGUGUCAGCACUAUAAUAAAUAAUUGCAAUAUAUAAUAGUAGUGCGAGCAGAAAAUGCAUGUUAUAUACAUUCAUAGCAAGUGGUGUCCUAUCCACUAAUACCCAAUUAGUGGGUAUUAUAAGCCUGGCAUUUGUUUGCAGUACAAAUUGUUUGCAGUACAGUGCAUUUGUUUGCACUGCAUUUGUUUGCAGUAAUGUAAACAUUCAUGUACUACAUUAUUUUUGGAAAUUGUGUUAAAAUAAAGGUUUUAAUUC